AAAAAAAAAAAAAAAAGUCAUUAAACCGUGUAAUCACAUUUUAUAUUAUUUAGGUACUUAUAAUUUUAAAAAAAUUAACGAAAAGCAAUCAGAAAUUUGUGUAACUUUAAAAAGGAAUUACAAAAUACCUAAUAUAAAAAUAGGGAAAAAAUCAAAUGACUAUUUUUUUUUAAAAUUACCAUUCCCUACUGAAGUUGUUAACUCCAAUUUAAAAUGCGACAUUGUAAUAGAAAAAAAAAAAAAAAAAAAAUGACUAUAAAUGUGCAACAUGAUAAGAAUAUAGAUUAUUAUUAUUUUUUUUUAUUUUUCAUUUAUUUUGUUUUUGUGUAAAUAGGGAAAGAUAGAGUUUGAUAAUAAGAAGGAAAUAAAAUGGCUAUUAAACGACUUUACAAAAGAGCAAGCAAUAUUGUCUGGGCUUAUAGAAUUUAGUAACAUGGAACAAUUUCCGGGGCAGCUAGCUGGAUAUAUUAAUAUUUUUUGCAAAUCAAAUUACUCUAAAACCAAAAUUACUCAUAUAAAUAAAAAAGUUGUACCUAACUAUUAUUUUCAAUCAAAACAAAUAAAGAUAAUAAGUUCCUAACAAUUUAUAAAUUUCCUCAUUUUGCUGAUUUUUAUAUGUCUGUUAAAGUUUUUUAAAAAGUGAUUUAAAUAAACGUCCUAUAUGACGAUAUGGAAAGAUCGUA
rnacentral:lncRNA from 1 species